rnacentral:rRNA from 1 species
GACGAACGCUGGCGGCGUGCUUAACACAUGCAAGUCGAACGGAAAGUCCCUGCUUUUGUGGGGUGCUCGAGUGGCGAACGGGUGAGUAACACGUGAGUACCCUGCCCCUGACUUUGGGAUAACUUCAUGAAACUGGGGCUAAUACCGGAUAGGAGCUCCUGCUGCUUGGUGGGGGUUGGAAAGUUUCGGCGGUUGGGGAUGGACUCGCGGCUUAUCAGCUUGUUGGUGGGGUAGUGGCUUACCAAGGCAUGGACCGGUAGCCGGGCUGAGAGGAGAACCGGACAAGUUGCGAUUGAGAUGAGACACAGACUACAACGGGAGGCAGCAGUGGAGAAGAUUACACAAGAGGCGGAAGGCAAAUGCAACAACGCCGCGUGGGGGAUGACGGGCAGCGGGUAGGAAACCGCUUUCGCCUGUGACGGGGCGUGAGUGACGGUAAUGGGUAAAGAAGCACCGGCUAACUACGUG